rnacentral:rRNA from 1 species
CCUACGGGAGGCAGCAGUGAGGAAUAUUGGUCAAUGGGCGAGAGCCUGAACCAGCCAAGUCGCGUGAAGGAUGACGGCCCUACGGGUUGUAAACUUCUUUUGUCAGGGAGCAAUUGAGUCCACGUGUGGGCUUAGCGAGAGUACCUGAAGAAAAAGCAUCGGCUAAUUCCGUGCCAGCAGCCGCGGUAAUACGGAGGAUGCGAGCGUUAUCCGGAUUUAUGGGGUUUAAAGGGUGCGUAGGCGGAAUAUCAGGUCAGCGUGAAAAAUUCGGGGCUCAACCCCGUCGUGCCGUUGAAACUGAUGAUCUUGAGUGGGCGAGAAGUAGGCGGAAUGCGUGGUGUAGCGGUGAAAUGCAUAGAUAUCACGCAGAACUCCGAUUGCGAAGGCAGCAUACCGGCGCCCAACUGACGUUGAGGCACGAAAGCGUGGGUAUCGAACAGGAUUAGAUACCCUUGUAGUC